AGCGAACGCUGGCGGCAGGCUUAACACAUGCAAGUCGAACGGGCGUAGCAAUACGUCAGCGGCAGACGGGUGAGUAACACGUGGGAACGUGCCCUUCGGUUCGGAAUAACUCAGGGAAACUUGAGCUAAUACCGGAUACGCCCUUUGGGGAAGGUUACUGCCGAGGAUCGGCCCGCGUCUGAUUAGCUAGUUGGUGGGGUAAGUGGCCUACCAAGGCGACGAUCAGUAGCUGGUCUGAGAGGAUGAUCAGCCACACUGGGA
rnacentral:rRNA from 1 species